rnacentral:rRNA from 1 species
CCUACGGGUGGCAGCAGUGAGGAAUAUUGGUCAAUGGACGCAAGUCUGAACCAGCCAUGCCGCGUGAAGGAAGACGGCCCUAUGAGUUGUAAACUGCUUUUGUACGAGGGUAAACGCAGAUACGCGUAUCUGUCUGCAAGUAUCGUACGAAUAAGGAUCGGCUAACUCCGUGCCAGCAGCCGCGGUAAUACGGAGGAUUCAAGCGUUAUCCGGAUUUAUUGGGUUUAAAGGGUGCGUAGGCGGUCGGUUAAGUCAGUGGUGAAAGCCCGAGGCUCAACUGCGGAAUUGCCUUUGAUACUGGUCGGCUUGAGAGUAGUUGCGGUAGGCGGAAUGUAUGGUGUAGCGGUGAAAUGCUUAGAGAUCACAAAGAACACCGAUUGCGAAGGCAGCUUACCAAGCUAUGUCUGACGUUGAGGCACGAAAGUGUGGGGAGCAAACAGGAUUAGAUACCCUAGUAGUC